CACGGGGGGAGCAAGCGUUGUUCGGAAUCACUGGGCGUAAAGGGCGUGUAGGCGGUUCGGUAAGUGGAAUGUGAAAUGCCCCGGCUCACCCGGGGACCUGCAUCCCAAACCGCCGAGCUCGAGUAUGGGAGAGGAUGAGGGAAUUCCUGGUGUAGCGGUGAAAUGCGUAGAUAUCAGGAGGAACACCGGUGGCGAAGGCGCUCAUCUGGCCCAAUACUGACGCUGAGGCGCGAAAGCUAGGGGAGCAAACGGG
rnacentral:rRNA from 1 species